rnacentral:lncRNA from 1 species
UUCUACAAUCCCUUGCCGAUGGCGUCCUGCUGGCAGACUUUCCUCCUCACCCUGCGCUACUACUGGUUCUGAACUCCUUUUUGUGAUGACGGUCCACAAGGAUACCUAGUGCCCUCCUGCACAUCGGCUCUCAGGUGUACGCUCCGGAGAAGAUUACUUCGAGGGCGAGCACGACCCAUUCCAUAAGUGACUGUAUCAACAUUUCUACAUGCUGUCGCCGAUGGCGUCCUGCUGGCACAAUUUCUUGCUCACUCUGCACUACUACAAGGAUGCCUAGCCCCUCCUGCACAUUGGCUCUCCUGUCUACGUUCCAGAAAUUACUUAGGGCGCGAGCACCACCCGUUCUAUAAGUCACUGCGACACGACUUCUCCAUCCUCUCGCUGAUGGUGUCCUGCUGGUAUAUUGGACUUAACCUGGCGCCCUUGCACUUAAUUCUGGUUGCCAGUGCGUUCGCUUUUAGGGCAAGAACACCAUUGUGUGGGGCAAGCGGAUCAAAUGUUCCCACAUGCUCAUUUACAAGAACCCUCCUAUCCUUACUUCAACAGUGACUAUAUUCUGCCCGAUCGUCCGGCCUCGGAGCCUUGCAGCACACUUCUACCGAUGAGUGAAGUGUCAGAAAACUCCGUCUUGGCGGUAUCCUGCACUAUGUCGGAGGGUUGUUAAUAUUCUGAAGGACUGCGUGUCAUCGCCAUCCCGCGACCGUCUAUCGGAUGUACUCCAUUUCGUCGCUGUUGUCUUUUUAAGCAGGCAUAUUUUAUGAGAUUAAUAUAACAACCUUUCCUGCUUUGA